GACGAACGCUGGCGGCGUGCUUAACACAUGCAAGUCGAACGGAAAGGCCCUGCUUUUGUGGGGUGCUCGAGUGGCGAACGGGUGAGUAACACGUGAGUAACCUGCCCUUGACUUUGGGAUAACUUCAGGAAACUGGGGCUAAUACCGGAUAGGAGCUCCUGCUGCAUGGUGGGGGUUGGAAAGUUUCGGCGGUUGGGGAUGGACUCGCGGCUUAUCAGCUUGUUGGUGGGGUAGUGGCUUACCAAGGCUUUGACGGGUAGCCGGCCUGAGAGGGUGACCGGCCACAUUGGGACUGAGAUACGGCCCAGACUCCUACGGGAGGCAGCAGUGGCGAAUAUUGCACAAUGGGCUGAAGCCUGAUGCAGCAACGCCGCGUGCGGGAUGACGGCCUUCGGGUUGUAAACCUCUUUCGCCUGUGACGAAGCGUGAGUGACGGUAAUGGGUAAAGAAGCACCGGCUAACUACGUG
rnacentral:rRNA from 1 species